CCCUCUGUUCUAUCUUUUUGUGUUUACGUAUUUCGGUAAAUACUUUACGCCCGUGCAUGUUCACCGUUCAUGCACGUCAUGGAAUCUUGGUUGUACACUUUUAUUUGCGCAAAUCCUACAACUUGCCUAUCUAGACGAUAUAUCGUACAGCUAAUACACGCACGGAUAAACAAGCACAUUGCUGUUUCCAAAUGUCUGAUCUUU
rnacentral:lncRNA from 1 species